rnacentral:lncRNA from 1 species
GCCGCCGGUUCCGUUUCUAGGCAUCGGUGAGCUGAAGCUGUGGUCCUUCUACAGAGCACUCAUCGCCGAGUUCAUCGCCACCCUCCUCUUUCUCUACGUCACCGUCGCCACCGUCAUCGGCCACAAGAAGCUCAGCGAACUCGACCAGUGCAACGGCGUCGGCCUCCUCGGCAUCGCCUGGGCUUUCGGCGGCAUGAUCUUCAUCCUCGUCUACUGCACCGCCGGAAUCUCAGGUAACAUUUGAAACCCUAACAUUUUCACUUAAUUUUAAUUUGUUCUUAAACUCUGUAAUUACAUUAAUUAAUUAAUU